rnacentral:sRNA from 1 species
UUUUUGCAAAAGGGAUUGAAGUGGCAUCCUUUUUUGUGAUUAACAACUACCUAUUUAAGAAGACUGCUGUUUCUUAAAAAACAAUGGGCUUUAUUAUAAAAACCACCAUAAACAAAAAAGAUAUAACGGAAAGCCCGGUGCGGC